rnacentral:rRNA from 1 species
UGAACGCUAGCUACAGGCUUAACACAUGCAAGUCGAGGGGCAGCAUUUUAGUUUGCUUGCAAACUGAAGAUGGCGACCGGCGCACGGGUGAGUAACACGUAUCCAACCUGCCGAUAACUCCGGAAUAGCCUUUCGAAAGAAAGAUUAAUACCGGAUAGCAUACGAAUAUCGCAUGAUAUUUUUAUUAAAGAAUUUCGGUUAUCGAUGGGGAUGCGUUCCAUUAGUUUGUUGGCGGGGUAACGGCCCACCAAGACUACGAUGGAUAGGGGUUCUGAGAGGAAGGUCCCCCACAUUGGAACUGAGACACGGUCCAAACUCCUACGGGAGGCAGCAGUGAGGAAUAUUGGUCAAUGGGCGAGAGCCUGAACCAGCCAAGUAGCGUGAAGGAUGAAGGCUCUAUGGGUCGUAAACUUCUUUUAUAUGGGAAUAAAGUUUUCCACGUGUGGAAUUUUGUAUGUACCAUAUGAAUAAGGAUCGGCUAACUCCGUGCCAGCAGCCGCGGUAAUACGGAGGAUCCGAGCGUUAUCCGGAUUUAUUGGGUUUAAAGGGAGCGUAGGUGGAUUGUUAAGUCAGUUGUGAAAGUUUGCGGCUCAACCGUAAAAUUGCAGUUGAAACUGGCAGUCUUGAGUACAGUAGAGGUGGGCGGAAUUCGUGGUGUAGCGGUGAAAUGCUUAGAUAUCACGAAGAACUCCGAUUGCGAAGGCAGCUCACUAGACUGUCACUGACACUGAUGCUCGAAAGUGUGGGUAUCAAACAGGAUUAGAUACCCUGGUAGUCCACACAGUAAACGAUGAAUACUCGCUGUUUGCGAUAUACAGUAAGCGGCCAAGCGAAAGCAUUAAGUAUUCCACCUGGGGAGUACGCCGGCAACGGUGAAACUCAAAGGAAUUGACGGGGGCCCGCACAAGCGGAGGAACAUGUGGUUUAAUUCGAUGAUACGCGAGGAACCUUACCCGGGCUUAAAUUGCAACAGAAUAUAUUGGAAACAGUAUAGCCGUAAGGCUGUUGUGAAGGUGCUGCAUGGUUGUCGUCAGCUCGUGCCGUGAGGUGUCGGCUUAAGUGCCAUAACGAGCGCAACCCUUAUCUUUAGUUACUAACAGGUCAUGCUGAGGACUCUAGAGAGACUGCCGUCGUAAGAUGUGAGGAAGGUGGGGAUGACGUCAAAUCAGCACGGCCCUUACGUCCGGGGCUACACACGUGUUACAAUGGGGGGUACAGAAGGCGGCUACCUGGUGACAGGAUGCUAAUCCCAAAAACCUCUCUCAGUUCGGAUCGAAGUCUGCAACCCGACUUCGUGAAGCUGGAUUCGCUAGUAAUCGCGCAUCAGCCAUGGCGCGGUGAAUACGUUCCCGGGCCUUGUACACACCGCCCGUCAAGCCAUGAAAGCCGGGGGUACCUGAAGUACGUAACCGCAAGGAGCGUCCUAGGGUAAAACUGGUAAUUGGGGCUAAGU